GAUGAACGCUGGCGGCGUGCCUAAUACAUGCAAGUCGAGCGAACAGACGAGGAGCUUGCUCCUCUGACGUUAGCGGCGGACGGGUGAGUAACACGUGGAUAACCUACCUAUAAGACUGGGAUAACUUCGGGAAACCGGAGCUAAUACCGGAUAAUAUAUUGAACCGCAUGGUUCAAUAGUGAAAGACGGUUUUGCUGUCACUUAUAGAUGGAUCCGCGCCGCAUUAGCUAGUUGGUAAGGUAACGGCUUACCAAGGCAACGAUGCGUAGCCGACCUGAGAGGGUGAUCAGCCACACUGGAACUGAGACACGGUCCAGACUCCUACGGGAGGCAGCAGUAGGGAAUCUUCCACAAUGGGCGAAAGCCUGACGGAGCAACGCCGCGUGAGUGAUGAAGGUCUUCGGAUCGUAAAACUCUGUUAUUAGGGAAGAACAAAUGUGUAAGUAACUAUGCACGUCUUGACGGUACCUAAUCAGAAAGCCACGGCUAACUACGUG
rnacentral:rRNA from 1 species